rnacentral:lncRNA from 1 species
GGCGCUGCGCCACCGGGGGACGCCCUGGGCUCAUUUCUCUGACAGUCCUUCUACUAGGUAGGUGUAGGAUUACGAAGAGGAAGGCCUGAGAGGAAACAAGCAUUUUGUGAAUCCCUCCUUCCAAUAUGGAGAAAAUCCCACAAUGAAGUGCAUUGAGGCUGGGGCUAUUUCUCAUUCAUCUUUUUAUCUCUGGCACAGUGCCUGGCCCUGUGCUUCAUUUUCCUUGUCAACAAAAUGGGGAUAAUCACAUCUACCUUGGAAUUGUUAUGAGGAUCACAUGGAGAAACACAAGUGAAAUGCUCUGUAGAUAUAAAGCAUGUAUCAACGAUGAUCUUUCUCCCUGUUUCUCCACAUACAUAGAGAUAAAGAGGUCCCAAUUACAAGGUGGGAGAACCUGGAACAAGGUAAGUGGAUGGAGAAAGUAGAGGGUGAUGAAAUGAUUGCUCUGUCCCUUUAAAUCCUGGCUCAGGAGAGUUUAAGAAGAGAAAAAUAGCCAGGAAAGUUUCCAAGGACAGACCCUACUAAUUCUUUCCCCCUUCCUUUCUUCCUGCCUUUUCCCAAUCUUGAGCUCCCUCCUUCCUGCCAGCUCAGCUCCUGGCCUCUUCCCAAGUCCAAGCCAAAAGCCUAAAGCUUAGUAAAAUGCCUAAAAAGUGCUAUCUGUCCAGCUGAUUCAGACAGAUACUGAUUCAAAC